UGCCCCAAAUACGGAUUCCAAACCACAAUCUUAGUAUCAUCAUCUUUCAAGAUGCAUAACAAUAAACCCUCACAACAAAAGACUUGAGAUAUCUUGACCUGUUCUGAAUCGUCUAGGCAAGUAAGUUU
rnacentral:sRNA from 1 species